rnacentral:rRNA from 1 species
UAAAACGUAGGGGGCGAGCGUUAUCCGGAGUUACUGGGCGUAAAGGGUGUGUAGGCGGUGCUAUAAGUGGGGUGUGAAACACUCAGGCUAAACCUGGGAGGUGCGCCUCAGACUGUAGGACUAGAGUGGGAUAGAGGGGCGUGGAAUUCCGGGUGGAGCGGUGAAAUGUGUAGAGAUCCGGAGGAACACCAGAGGCGCAAGCGGCGCCCUGGGUCCCAACUGACGCUGAAACACGAAAGCUUGGGGAGCGAACGGGAUUAGAGACCCCGGUAGUCCAAGCCGUAAACGAUGCAAACUCGAUGUCCACUCUCGCAAGAGAGGGGGCGUCACAGCUAACGCGAUAAGUUUGCCGCCUGGGGAGUACGGUCGCAAGACUA